rnacentral:rRNA from 1 species
UACGUAGGGGGCAAGCGUUGUCCGGAAUCAUUGGGCGUAAAGAGCGCGUAGGCGGCCCUGUAAGUCCGCUGUGAAAGUCAAGGGCUCAACCCUUGAAUGCCGGUGGAUACUGCAGGGCUAGAGUCCGGAAGAGGCGAGUGGAAUUCCUGGUGUAGCGGUGAAAUGCGCAGAUAUCUGGAGGAACACCGGUGGCGAAGGCGGCAUCCUGGACCGGUAUUGACGCUGAGGCGCGAAAGCCAGGGGAGCAAAGCGGG